AACUCUUCUGUGGUUCUUUCUAGGACUGUCCAACCUGAGAAUGUUGGAUUUGGGUUCAAUCUCAGGUUCGUCAGCCCAUGAAACACUAACAAUAUUUCACCA
rnacentral:pre_miRNA from 13 species